rnacentral:rRNA from 1 species
ACACGUGGGCAAUCUGCCCUAAAGACUGGGAUACCACUUGGAAACAGGUGCUAAUACCGGAUAACAACAUGAAUCGCAUGAUUCAAGUUUGAAAGGCGGCGCAAGCUGUCACUUUAGGAUGAGCCCGCGGCGCAUUACCUAGUUGGUGGGGUAAAGGCCUACCAAGGCAAUGAUGCGUAGCCGAGUUGAGAGACUGAUCGGCCACAUUGGGACUGAGACACGGCCCAAACUCCUACGGGAGGCAGCAGUAGGGAAUCUUCCACAAUGGACGCAAGUCUGAUGGAGCAACGCCGCGUGAGUGAAGAAGGUCUUCGGAUCGUAAAGCUCUGUUGUUGGUGAAGAAGGAUAGAGGCAGUAACUGGUCUUUAUUUGACGGUAAUCAACCACAAAGUCACGGCUAACUACGUGCCAGCAGCCGCGGUAAUACGUAGGUGGCAAGCGUUGUCCGGAUUUAUUGGGCGUAAAGCGAGCGCAGGCGGAAUGAUAAGUCUGAUGUGAAAGCCCACGGCUCAACCGUGGAACUGCAUCGGAAACUGUCAUUCUUGAGUGCAGAAGAGGAGGAGUGGAACUCCAUGUGUAGACGG